CCUCACUCAUAAGUUUAUUUUUAGCAAGCUUGCUAAACCGGAAGAGUUGAAAGAACCACCAAUUGGGUAUGGUAUUACACGAGAUGAUUGGAGUGCGUUUGUAAUCAGUCGCAUGUCGGACGACUUCAAGAAAGUAAGUGAUGAGCAAAAGAAGAGAAGAAAGCAGAAUGUAUACCCACAUCGGCUUGCCCGUAAAGGUUAUGCUCGUUUUGCUGAUGAAAUAGGAGAUGAAUUAUGUGAUGAUGAAGAGAUUAAUCGAGCGAUUAUUUGGAAGAAAGGAC